rnacentral:rRNA from 1 species
AAACCAGCACCUCAAGUGGUCAGGAUGAUUAUUGGGCCUAAAGCAUCCGUAGCCUGCUCUGUAAGUUUUCGGUUAAAUCUGUACGCUCAACGUACAGGCUGUCGGGAAUACUGCAGAGCUAGGGAGUGGGAGAGGUAGACGGUACUCGGGAGGAAGUGGUAAAAUGCUUUGAUCUCUCGAUGACCACCUGUGGCGAAGGCGGUCUACCAGAACACGUCCGACGGUGAGGGAUGAAAGCUGGGGGAGCAAACCGGAUUAGAUACCCGAGUAGUCC